UUUGAAGGACUCGAGGCUGUGGAGAAGUUCUACAAGGAAUAUGCGCAUCAAUCAGGUUUUGGUGUUCGCAUUGGACAACAAAAAAAGAUUGAUAAUAAGGUGGUCCGUACUAAGCGUUUCAUGUGUAAUAAGGAAGGAUUCAAGGCAAAAGAUAGUAAAGAGACUAAUGACCCCUUGAGGAAAAGGCGUAAGCAGACAGAUACGCGAUGCGGUUGUGAUGCCCAUAUCUUUGUUAGACUUUGUGGGGAGAACACCUACAAGAUAGACUCACUGAUUGAGCACCAUGUUCAUGGCCUUGUAUCGCCUAAUAAGCGUCAUUUGAUCAGAUCAAAUCGUAGAGUUAGUGAGAGGGCAAAAAAUACUUUAUACACAUGUCAUAAGGCAAGUAUUGGAACGUCGCAGGCAUACAGGCUCCUGCAAGUUAGUGAGGGUGGAAUUCCGAAUGCUGGGUGCACAAAGAGGGACUUGCAGAAUUACUACCGCGGACUCAGGUAUAAAAUCAGAGAUGCAGAUGCUCAAAUGUUUGUGGCCCAAUUAGCUAGAAAGCAGGAAGUGAAUUCAGCAUUUUUCUAUGAUUUUGAGGUGAAUGAUGAGGGGGAGUUGGUGCGUGUGUUCUGGGCGGAUGCCACCAGCAGGAAGAACUAUAGUCACUUUGGUGAUGUGAUAUCCUUCGAUUCUACAUACACCACUAAUCAGUAUAACAUGAUAUUUGCACCAUUUACAGGGGUUAAUCAUCACUUACAAAGUGUCUUUUUUGGUGCUGCAUUCUUAUCAAAUGAGAAGGAUGAGUCAUACAUUUGGUUAUUUCAGACCUUCCUAACAGCAAUGGGAGGGGCAGCACCUAGACUCAUCAUAACCGAUGAAGCCACUAGCAUCAAGAAUGGUAUUGAUAAAGUUCUUCCAACAACUGUGCAUAGGUUGUGCAUGUGGCAUAUAAUGGAAAAGGUUCCUGAAAAGGUUGGACCUUCGAUUAGAGAAGAUUCUGAUUUUUGGACAAGAUUGAACUCGUGUGUUUGGGGUUCGGAAACUUCAACUGAGUUUGAGUCACAAUGGAAUUCCAUCAUUACUGAUUUUGGGUUGGAGGAAAAUGAGUGGUUGGCCAAGAGGUUUAGCAUUUGA
rnacentral:rRNA from 1 species